rnacentral:rRNA from 1 species
AUUGAACGCUGGCGGCAUGCCUUACACAUGCAAGUCGAACGGCAGCACGGGUGCUUGCACCUGGUGGCGAGUGGCGAACGGGUGAGUAAUACAUCGGAACAUGUCCUGUAGUGGGGGAUAGCCCGGCGAAAGCCGGAUUAAUACCGCAUACGAUCUACGGAUGAAAGCGGGGGACCUUCGGGCCUCGCGCUAUAGGGUUGGCCGAUGGCUGAUUAGCUAGUUGGUGGGGUAAAGGCCUACCAAGGCGACGAUCAGUAGCUGGUCUGAGAGGACGACCAGCCACACUGGGACUGAGACACGACCCAGACUCCUACGGGAGGCAGCAGUGGGGAAUUUUGGACAAAGGGCGAAAGCCUGAUCCAGCAAUGCCGCGUGUGUGAAGAAGGCCUUCGGGUUGUAAAGCACUUUUGUCCGGAAAGAAAUCCUUGGCCCUAAUACGGUCGGGGGAUGACGGUACCGGAAGAAUAAGCACCGGCUAACUACGUG